AGUCGGUUCGUGAAGUUAAUUUGUGAGUGAACUCGGGUUUCCUGACAGCUCUUCUGUCGUGCCGAAGAAGGCCGCAAAAGUCGAGUAAGGCUACCUUACGAAAGGUGGGCGGCCGUUGCCCUCUGCGUGGCCUGGUGACGCAGCAGCGGCCCAGAGAGACUCGCCGAAGUGUUGCAGGUGGGGCAUGGCACCACCUGGCAGGCAGCGUUCGCGACGUCGUCCAGGGUCCUUCAAUAAGGGAUUGGUGUUAUCCCGCUCGCAACAGAGCUGCGAAGCUGCUGCUCGACAAGUGGCCGUGGC